UUUUAAUAUUACAAUAUGGAAAUGAUCUAUAUCGAUGAAGAAGAGGAAGCAACAAGUUCUAUUGCUUUACCAUGGCCAAAUUGAGCAUAUUUUAAAAUAAUAUCUCAAAACAAAGAAAACAAUUAAUUCUCUGAUGGUAAAAGGUUUGCCGUGUCUACCUAAAAAUACAAAAAUAUCCGUCAGUAUGACUUCAACGUGCAAUAUCGUGAAGCACAUAAGGAUGGCAUGCAGCCAUUAUAAAAGAAAACAAUUGAUACAAAGAUUAGCUGGUGAAUUAUCAAAGUCAUCAACUGACUGCAAGCAAAUAACCUGCCAAAAAAAACAAAUAAUUUAAUUUCAGAUUUUUUUCAGUACCCUACA